rnacentral:rRNA from 1 species
AAAUAGAUACCCCGGUAGUCCACGCCGUAAACGAUGAGUGCUAAGUGUUAGAGGGUUUCCGCCCUUUAGUGCUGAAGUUAACGCAUUGAGCACUCCGUCUGGGGAGUACGGCCGCAAGGCUGAAACUCAAAGGAAUUGACGGGGGGCCCGCACAAGCGGUGGAGCAUGUGGUUUAAUUCGAAGCAACGCGAAGAACCUUACCAGGUCUUGACAUCCUCUGACAACCCUAGAGAUAGGGCUUCUCCUUCGGGAGCAGAGUGACAGGUGGUGCAUGGUUGUCGUCAGCUCGUGUCGUGAGAUGUUGGGUUAAGUCCCGCAACGAGCGCAACCCUUGAUCUUAGUUGCCAUCAUUCAGUUGGGCACUCUAAGGUGACUGCCGGUGACAAACCGGAGGAAGGUGGGGAUGACGUCAAAUCAUCAUGCCCCUUAUGACCUGGGCUACACACGUGCUACAAUGAACAGUACAAAGAGCUGCAAAGACCGCGAGGUGGAGCUAAUCUCAUAAAAACCCGUUCUCAGUUCGGAUUGU